GUUGAACGCUGGCGGCAUGCCUUACACAUGCAAGUCGAACGGCAGCACGGGAGCUUGCUCCUGGUGGCGAGUGGCGAACGGGUGAGUAAUACAUCGGAACGUACCCUGAAGUGGGGGAUAACGUAGCGAAAGUUACGCUAAUACCGCAUAUUCUGUGAGCAGGAAAGAGGGGGAUCGCAAGACCUCUUGCUUUAGGAGCGGCCGAUGUCGGAUUAGCUAGUUGGUGAGGUAAAGGCUCACCAAGGCGACGAUCCGUAGCGGGUCUGAGAGGAUGAUCCGCCACACUGGGACUGAGACACGGCCCAGACUCCUACGGGAGGCAGCAGUGGGGAAUUUUGGACAAUGGGCGCAAGCCUGAUCCAGCCAUGCCGCGUGAGUGAAGAAGGCCU
rnacentral:rRNA from 1 species